rnacentral:misc_RNA from 1 species
CUCGACCCACUUGUGCGUCUUGUAGCCCCGGUGGGUGAGCAGGCGGUGAUAGCCCAUCCCGAUGCCGAGCGAGCCGGCCACCCACCAGAAGAGGACCAUCACCGCGAUCGCGCCG